rnacentral:rRNA from 1 species
CCCUUAGAUGUUCGGAGCUGCACGCGCGCUACACUGAAGGAAGCAGCGUGUUAGAGCGCCUGGCUUGAAAGAGUUGGGUAAUCCGGUGAAUGUCCUUCGUGAUUGGGAUAGGGACUUGUAAUUAUUUCCCUUGAACGAGGAAUACCUAGUAAGUGCGAGUCAUCAGCUUGCGCUGACUACGUCCCUGCCCCUUGUACACACCGCCCGUCGUUUCUUCCGACUGAUAUUCAAUGUGAAUUGCGAGGAGUUCUGCGAAUCGCCGUAAACAUUGAAUAUUGGAGGAAGAAAAAGUCGUAACA